AUGAGGGGAGGGAGAACCCAUUACUUCAAAGCAAACAAAACAACACCCCGACAUGAUGGGUAGAAGCCAGAGUGCACAGGGGUUGCGGUCACUAGCCCCACUGUUAUGCUUAGCUAAUGAACAAGAGGGACAACAUUCCACUCCUUUGCAACUUGAAGAUUACAGGUGUAAAACAAGGAAAAUAAGGUAAUAAACAUUCUUGUGUUCCAAGAUGAUUAUAAUAUCAGUAGGUGAUAUAGCCAUGGAGCCACAAAUAGAAAUGUCCCCUCAGUUUUUGAUGGAAAGAGCAUAUUUAGUGUUUCGAUUAACAAGCAACAGUUAAAACUGUCAGCAUAAAUGGUAGGUUUUUCUUGUUACUCAUCAUCAUUCCUAAUGAGAAUUUGCAGCUGGUUUUUAUGAAUUGUAGCAUCUCAUUUGUUCCUCUUCUUCCACAGCUAUCUGUAGGUUAAAGGCCCCUAAUGCUCUCCUCUGCCACAGACCCCUUUAGAAUCAUCCCCAUAUCACAAGCCACUCGUGACUCUAGGAUGGUGAUGGAGCAAGUUCCUUGGCAGAUCUAGGGAAAGGAGCCUGGGAUGUGGAGUGUCCAUCAGGUUAGGGGGCUGGUUCCACUUUCCCAGGAGUGUUUCCAGCCCUAAAGUCUGAUUUUUCUACUCUUGGCUGUCAUCUGCACGGAGGACAUUAGUAACUAGUGAGGUUGUUUCAACUCCUGAGUCUGUGCCUAUUUCCUUUGCAGCAUUCACUAAUUGUCAUUCCAGUAUGGAUAUCAAAUUCUGAAGAAGAUCAAAAUAAAGCAGGAAAUCUUUCUUUAGAUUUUCUAUCUCACCUGCCCUUUGGUGGUUAAGGAAGAAACCCCAUUCUUCUCACUUUAAGGAGCCAUCUGAAACACUCCCCCUGCUUUGGAGUCACACAUCUGUCCACUCACUUGGCUUCCCCCACCCCCUCACUUCCUCUAAUGCUACUUCUGUGCAAUAACCAGUUUCUACAUUUUUUUUUCUUCAUCACAGGGUCUCACUAUAAGUUUCAGACUGCCCUAGGACUCUGGGUGGAUCCAGCUCAGGCUGCCCUACAACUCAGGUUUUAUGUAGCUCAGGUUGGCCUUAAACCAAAUUCUCUUCUUGCCAUAGCCUGCUAUUUGCUGGACUUACAGGCAUGAAUAUCCACACCCAGCAGCAUUACCCCUCCCCCUUUCUUACAUGCCACCAACUGUAGGCAACACAUAACUUCACAGCUUCAUCAUUUCCUCUUUGAUGAGUCAGCUCCAUCUCUUGAGUUAACUCCCAUUUCUAAAAGUAGUGUAACAGUGUCUUCAAAUACCUCUUAAAACUGCAGUCUUUGCCAAUGACCCUACACCACGGAUUCCCAUGAAACACCGGAGCACCUAUCUGUUUCAUUCCCUGACAGGCCACAAUGGAUUGGCAGCCUUAUUUCUUCUGAGAAGCACAAAAGCCACAUUGGCUCAAAACAGCUUUUGGUUUUCUGACCCCUAUGGUACCCACUGGGUUUGCUUCACUGGUCAGCAAUUGACAGUUAGACUCAUUUGGUAAGCAAGCAUAUACUUUUGUGCAUGGCUAACAAUCUGUAUCUGCCCGGGUGGUGGUGGUAGUGGUAGUGGUGGCACACACCUUUUAAUCAGCACAUUAAUCAGGAGGCAGAGGCAGGCAAAUAUAGAGUGAGUUUCAAGACAGCCAAGCCUACAGAGAAACCCUGUCUCAAACAACAAAACAAAAGUAUCUAUAAGUAUUGCUUUAUCUAACAGGAUGACAACUUCACUCUCCAAAACAAUGUCUAAAUUCUUUUGUUUUACAGAUUUUAUAAGACAUGUAUUUCAACUUUUAUAUAAAUAUUUAGACUAACCAGGACUCACAGAGAGGGAGGAAGAGAAAGAAAUUGACAUUUGAGGGCAGGAAAGCAGAAUCUGGGAAUAGAUGUUGGGGUAACUUGGGAUUCUAGUCAGACAUAUGAGAAGAAGGAACUCCUUAGUUAUGUUCUAGAAAACACUAGUUACCAAGUAUCUACUAGUGAAGUUUCCCUAUGCAAUUGGUGGAUAAUCUUCAUAAAUAAUAACUUCAGAGAUACUGAAAUUAUCCAUAUCUUUUUCAUGAGAAAAGUAGAUAUGGCAUAAUGCUAACAAAUUAAGAAUUUCAUCAGACUCUACUGUUGACUUUGGGAUGAAUUACCUGUUCAAACUAUAUAGGAUGCAUGCAGUAUGUAAAAUAUAUGCAGUAUUUUCACAUACAUUAAAUAACAUGAUACCAAUUGUAUGUAGUAUCAAGUUAUAUAAAAGAAGGUUUAUAUGUAUAUAUGGUUUAUUAUUCAUUGAAACAUGAAUUACUAACAUUGGACAUUUUUACAAGGAUAUGUCAUUUUAAAGAAACCCUUCACAUUUGUGUAAGAAAUUUAUGUUGUUUCAUAAAGGAAAAAUGUUUACUACUACAAUUCUACACUUGUGUAGAUCUGACUUGUCAUGGGAAAAAGUUACUGCAUUUUUUUAAAUAUGGAAGCUCGAGAAAUGGCAAGCAUUUUUGUUUUGUUUUUCCUACUUGACACAAGCUAGAUUGGUCUGAGAGGAGGAAAUCUGAAUUAAGAAAAUGCCUCCAUCAUACUGGCCUUGGAGUUCUCUUGACUGAUGAUGGAUGGAGGGGUGGGGGACAUCCUGCUCACUAGGGUGGGGCCACUGUGGGUUGAAGGCUCUGGGUGCUUUAAGAAACCAGGCUCAGCAGGCCACAGGAGCAAGCUAAGUAAGUAUAUCUGUUGUUACACCACAACAGCAGCUCGAAAAAAGGUACACCCCAAACAUCUAUUAUUAAAGAGUAAGGUCAUUCUCCAAUCUUAGCCAGUUUUUCAAACUUUUCCAUUUUAGUUGAAGCCAUUUAAGUUGGCCUAGUGAUUGACUUGAAGUUCAGCCAUGAACCUAGAAAACAGAACAAUUCUUAUCAAUCAAACUACAUGGGACACUGUUCUCAUAGUUUGUCUGUGCACCUUUGGUACCGGUUGACAACGGUUUAUGUUCAUUCUUUAAUUUUUUCUUUCAAUGUAUAGCAGAAGUGAGCACUCAGGUGGUUUUUUGUAGAACAAAAUUCUCUAUUCUUCCAGCUAUUCAACCGCCUGCAGGGUCAUUUCUGAUGAGGACUCUGUGUUGACCAUAGUUAACGAAAAAAACCUGGAAAAAGAACCUUUACCCCAUCUAUUGUUUUUAUUAUCCCAGGGAAAUGACUAAAAUACAAAGCUGUAAUGUGCAAUAAAGGGGCAUUGAUAGGCUUUUAUACUCUUGAAUAUGCUGUCUGCCUUCCUAACUAACCCCACAGUGAAGGGGAAGAAUUUGCAACAAGACAGAAUACAAAAUUCUAUACCUGCACCUGGUGGACAGAAGAAAGAAAACUGUUGCUGUGAUACAAUCCAAAUUUUCUUAGGAAAUGUUUGGGCUAUGAUAUGAAUAUUAAAUGUGUAUGUAUAUGUAGGAAGUGGUAUAUGUGGUAUGUAUGUGAGGGGUGUAUGUGUGUGUGUGUGUGUGUGUGUGUUUGUGUGUAUGUGAAGUGGUAUAUGUGGUAUGUAUGUGAGGGGUGUAUGUGUGUGUGUGUGUGUGUGUGUGUUUGUGUGUAUGUGUUUGUGUGUGUGUUUUUGUGUGUGUGUGUGUUUGUGU
rnacentral:lncRNA from 1 species